rnacentral:lncRNA from 1 species
UGUUACUCCCUGACCUGUCCUCCCUGUUACUCCCUGACCUGUCCUCCAUAUUACCCCCUGACCUGUCCUCCCUGUUACUCCCUGACCUGUCCUCCCUGUUACUCCCUGGCAUGUCCUCCCUGUUACUCCCUGACCUGUCCUCCCUGUUACUCCCUGACAUGUCCUCCCUGUUACUCCAUUAAUCUAUGUGCAUAUGUAUAGGGCACUUGUUUAUAAGACCUAUUUAACUCUCACCAGGCAGACCCUGAAUGUUCUUGUUUUUUUAAUAUAUAUUUUUACAGUAUUUUACAAUAGUCUGUCGGACAUGCUCCUCUUCCUCUGGUGUACUGUUGUAAGCGUCAUUGUACGAUGAAAUAUCAAGAAUAUAAGAAGUAUUUUAUUCAUAUUCAUAGUAAACUUAUGGCAGACGUUUUAUAAUAACCAGCCAGCUACUAUAUUAUGCUUAUAUUGUAUGAUACAUUAUACAGUAUAUGUACUUUGACAAUAUAUCCUGGUGAAUAUGCAUAAAAUAAACAUACAGAGUUGAUAUUAUACAUUCCCUGUAUUUAAAUGUCCUGAAAGUGUUCUGUGAUAAUUGUGUUUUUACGUAGUAUUCUGUAUGUAAAGGGCCAACAAAGGCACCAGCACAAUCUGAGUAUUAUCUUAAAGCCUAUGUAUCUAUCAAACAAUGAUGAGACUGAGAAAGGAGACCUAGCAAAGUGGGACAGUGCCACAAUCAAUUCCCAUCAUUAUUUCAAGUCUCUGCUCUGAAGUAUUCGGAAAGUGAGAGGCAUUCUUCUUUAAAUUGUUAGCAUGAUUUACUUUGAAGGUAUUUCUUAAUCUUGUCAGAGAGUAAUGUUUUGCUGUUGUUGCUACAUGAAAAACAGACAUGGAAUAAUGUAACAGGGGAAUGUGAAACGUGGAAUGUGAGAGGAUUGCCUUGCAGGCUUAGAGGGGGGGGGGAGCGGCAAUGCAUUUACUGACAAAAUAUGUAUGGAAGCAUAUCCAUACCAUAUCCUCAAUCAAUGUAAAUAAAAAUAAUCAACAUAGCCAUUUCAUGACAUACCUUCAGUUUCAAACAUUCACUGGAGAAUGUCAUAUUGUUGCGUAAUAUGUUUGAAGGAUAGACAUUUUCUACUCAGGCUUUCAAACAUCGCCUUGAACAGCUGUGUUGCCAGCAUCCUACCAGCAGAGAGAGCUGUUUAGCAGGACAUUCAGUUACCUUUCAGCCAUAACAUUGCUGCCCCCGCACUGCACAAGCUUGUUAGGGUGGCCCAUUCGCAGUCUCUGGCUAGGGAGUACUGCGGAGCUAUCUGUGAUCGUUGACAGAUAGUUGCGUGUGUGUGUGUGUGUGUGUGUGUGUGUGUGUGUGUGUGUGUGUGUGUGUGUGUGAGAUGUGUUUUUGUUCUGCUGUAGGUUUGUGAAUGUCAUUGAAUGCAGUAUGCUGCGACCUGGCUGACCUGCUGUUCUACUAAGGAGCCUAUUUAAGGAAUGUGGCUGAGGAGAAUAUUCUAGCCGGCAGAUUCAUGUCAUGUUUUGAAGCAGGAAUGCUUUAUCCAGCUGUGUCCAUCGCAUGUAGUUACCUUGCUGAAAAAAAGUAUCUGUACAAUUUUAGUACAGACAAUUGAAUGUUAGGUCGAAGUUUCACUUGGUGUAUUUUGCCUCUCGUCUUUUCCUAUCUCACCUCAGUUAUUUUUGCAUUUGUCACCUUCCUUUUCCAUGAUCUCUUUCCACUCCAAUCUCAUACCCUCUCUAUUUUCCCCUUCAGUCCUCCUCCUCUCUCGCGUCACUUCAUUUCCCCCCUGUCAGUUUGCUUUGCCUUCUGUCUCAGUCAUCUUCUCACUGCUAUCACUCUCCUACACAAUCUUUUGGGAAGCUGCCUUCAUCACUUAACUGCUUGUGUAUAUUGUUACUAUUACUGAUGACAUAUACCUUGAAUUGUAUUGUAAUAUUGUAAUAUUAUAAUGUUACUCCUGUGAUAUUACUGCUUGGUACUUGUAUUUAUUUAUAGUGUUUCACACUUGUGGCAUAUGUGACCAGGUUAGUCUAUCACAGAAUGCUAUGUCACCUCGGGACAUUGGAGGGUACAAGCUUUGAGGGCCCUUUACAUACAAACGGACGUUGUGUAGUUCAAUCAACAGGUGAACAACACUGAAAAUGUCCUCUUCAACACACUAUUUCUUCAUAUCUUGGGGUCUAUGCAGUACGUGCCCUGUUCCCUGUGGCCCAGGCACUAACCAUGAGGGAGAGAGGCACAGACAGUUUGAUACAGUACACUGUCUGUUGUACAGCAGUAUGAUAGUCAGGACUAGCCUCCGCUUCAAGCUCAGCGAGCUCUCUAUGCCCACCCUGCCACCUCUGACGUUAUCACUGAGCAGCUGCAGGGUCUCCAUGGCACUGGUUUGCAUGGAAACCGCUAGUUCCCUCCAAGUAUGUCAAAUGUGCCUAUUUGAUUGUGACAUUUUCGGGAAAUAAAAUCUAAAUGUUGGCUCCGUGAUACUGAAAUGAAAGCCCAGGUGUUACUGUAUGUUUGACCCUUUCCCAGCCAGCACUUCUGAAUGUGACAUGUGUGUAUAUACUGUAUAUAUACAGCAUGAGAUAAUAUUAUAAUGGUCUGCUUUCCAUUGUAUUAUGUUUAGAGUAUUUAAUGAAAGGUUAAUAUAUAGAGCAACAUUUUUGUCCUUCAGUUCAUUGUCAUGAUUUUUUUAAAUUAUAAAGCUGAAUGAAGGAAAAGUUGUUGUAUUUAUGCUGUUUUCUGCCAAUGUGUUGUAUACACCACACCAAGCCACCAAUGCAUUCAAAACUGUGAUAUAGUGUACUACAGUGUGGUUCUGACUCAUUUCAGUUUUCUUAGACUGCUGCCAAUGAGAGAUAUUUGAAAUGUUUUUACUUGGAUUGUUUUACUCAUUUUAGCUGUACACGUGUCGACUGCCUGUUAAAACCUCACUUCUUUAAGGAAAUAUUGUUUGUAUAUGAGCUCUUCUGGGGAGGCAUAGUGGGAAAAAUAAAAGUGUUUCAAAAAGGGAUUGUUUGUGCAUUAUUGUAUUUUGUCAAAUAUCAAAGUCAAACUACAUAAAAUAAGAUACCACCAC